rnacentral:rRNA from 1 species
GCGAACGUUAGCGGCGGGGCCUAAACACAUGCAAGUCGAACGAGAAUGUAGGCUUCGGUCUACUAGUAAAGUGGCAGACGGGUGCGUAACACGUGGGUAAUCUACCCUUCCGGCGGGGGGACAAACAGUCCGAAAGGAUUGCUAAUUACCGCAUACGUCAGCGGCGCCUACGGGCGCUGUUGGGAAAAGAUGGCCUCUCCAUGGAAGCUGUCACCGGAAGAUGAGCCCCGCCGCCCCAUCAGCUAGUUGGUGAGGUAAUGGCUCACCAAGGCUAAGACGGGUAGCUGGUCUGAGAGGAUGAUCAGCCACACUGGGACUAGCGACACGGCCCCAGACUCCUACGGGAGGCAGCAGUGGGGAAUAUUGGGCAAUGGGCGAAAGCCUGACCCAGCCACGCCCGCGUGAAGUGAUGAAGGCCUUCGGGUCGUAAAGCUCUGUGGGGAGGGACGAACAAGCUCCGGGGCUAAUCACCGGGGGACCUGACGGUACCUCCUUAGCAAGCACCGGCUAACCCCUGUGCCAGCAGGCCGCGGGUAAAUACAGGGGGUGCAAACGUUGCUCGGAAUCAAUUGGGCGUAAAAGCGCACGUAGGCGGUCUGUUAUGUCGGAUGUGAAAGCCCUUGGCUUAAACUGAGGAAGUGCAUCCGAAAACUGGCAGGCUAGAGUACCAAAGAAGGGUCGCGGAAUUCCCGGUGUAGAGGUGAAAUUCGUAGAUAUCGGGAGGAACACCGGUGGCGAAGGCGGCGACCCUGGGUGGAUACUGACGCCUGAGGUGCGAAAGCGUGGGGAGCAAACAGGGAUUAGAUACCCUGGUAGUCCACGCCGUAAACGAUGAGUGCUAGAACGUUCGGGCUCUUAGCAUGCUCCGUCAGUGUCGCAGCUAACGCAUUAAGCACUUCCGCCUGGGGAGUACGGUCCGCAAGGAUUAAAACUCAAAGGAAUUGACGGGGGGCCCGCACAAGCGGUGGAGCAUAGUGGUUUUAAUUCGAAGCAACGCGCAGAAACCUUACCAAACCCUUUGAACAUGGGGAGUAUGGGCUGGAGAGAUCCGGUUCGUCAGUUCGGCUGGCUCCCACACAGGUGCUGCAUGGCUGUCGUCAGCUCGUGUCGUGAGAUGUUGGGUUAAGUCCCCGCAACGAGCGCAACCCCUAUCUUCAGUUGCCAUCAUUCAGUUGGGCACUCUGAAGAAAACUGCCGGUGACAAGCCGGAGGAAGGCGGGGGAUGACGUCAAGUCCUCAUGGCCCUUACGGGUUGGGCUACACACGCGCUACAAAUGGUGGUGACAAUGGGGAGCGAGGGGCCGCGAGGCCAAGCCAAUCUCAAAAAGCCAUCUCAGUUCGGAUUGCACUCUGCAACUCGAGUGCAUGAAGUUGGAAAUCGCUAGUAAUCGCGCAUCAGCAUGGGCGCGGUGAAUACGUUCCCGGGCCUUGUACACACCGCCCGUCACACCACGGGAGUUGGUUUUUACCCGAAAGCCGGUGCGCAAAACCCGCAAGGAUGCAGCCGACCGCGGUAAGGUCAGCCGACUGGGGUG